CCUACGGGGGGCUGCAGUGGGGAAUAUUGCACAAUGGGCGAAAGCCUGAUGCAGCGACGCCGCGUGAGCGAAGAAGGCCUUCGGGUCGUAAAGCUCUGUUCUAUGGGAAGAAAAAUGACGGUACCAUAGGAGGAAGCCCCGGCUAACUACGUGCCAGCAGCCGCGGUAAUACGUAGGGGGCGAGCGUUGUCCGGAAUGACUGGGCGUAAAGGGUACGUAGGCGGCUAGAUAAGUCAGAUGUGAAAGGCAUAGGCUUAACCUGUGUAAGCAUUUGAAACUGUAGGGCUUGAGUGCAGGAGAGGAGAGCGGAAUUCCUAGUGUAGCGGUGAAAUGCGUAGAUAUUAGGAGGAACACCAGUGGCGAAGGCGGCUCUCUGGACUGCAACUGACGCUGAGGCACGAAAGCGUGGGGAGCGAACAGGAUUAGAUACCCCGGUAGUC
rnacentral:rRNA from 1 species